AAGUCGUAACAAGGUAACCGUAGGUGAACCUGCGGUUGGAUCAUUAUUGAAUGAUAUAUUACUAUGUGUAUAUGUAUAGUUGUGAUUUUUUAACAAGGAUAAAUCUUCAUGAAUAUAUAUAUACAUGUAUGUAUAAAAGGGGUAUAAUCAUCAAGAUUAUACUCUGAUACAUUUUGUCAACUUGUUAUGAGCUUUAAUGGCUCAAAGUUUUUGGUGGUUUUUUUCUUUUACUUACCAAGAUUAUUCUUUGUAAAUAGGAGGGAAUCCACCUUCAACUCUAUAAACAUUUAUUUUCUAUUUUUGUCUAGUUAUCAUUGUGAUAAAAAAAGUAAAAACAACUUUUGACAACGGAUCUCUAGGCUCUC
rnacentral:misc_RNA from 1 species